UACGUAGGGUGCAAGCGUUAAUCGGAAUUACUGGGCGUAAAGCGUGCGCAGGCGGCUUUAUAAGUCAGAUGUGAAAUCCCCGGGCUCAACCUGGGAACUGCAUUUGUGACUGUAGAGCUGGAGUGCGGCAGAGGGGGAUGGAAUUCCGCGUGUAGCAGUGAAAUGCGUAGAUAUGCGGAGGAACACCGAUGGCGAAGGCAAUCCCCUGGGCCUGCACUGACGCUCAUGCACGAAAGCGUGGGGAGCAAACAGG
rnacentral:rRNA from 1 species